GACGAACGCUGGCGGCGUGCUUAACACAUGCAAGUCGAACGAUGAAGCUGGAGCUUGCUCUAGCGGAUUAGUGGCGAACGGGUGAGUAACACGUGAGCAAUCUGCCCUUGACUCUGGGAUAACUGCGGGAAACUGUAGCUAAUACCGGAUACUUUCACCGGGGGGCAUCCUCUGGUGAUGAAAGAAUUUCGGUCAAGGAUGGACUCGCGGCCUAUCAGCUAGUUGGUGAGGUAAAGGCUCACCAAGGCGACGACGGGUAGCCGGCCUGAGAGGGUGACCGGCCACACUGGGACUGAGACACGGCCCAGACUCCUACGGGAGGCAGCAGUGGGGAAUAUUGCACAAUGGGCGCAAGCCUGAUGCAGCAACGCCGCGCGAGGGAUGACGGCCUUCGGGUUGUAAACCUCUUUUAGCAGGGAAGAAGCGAAAGUGACGGUACCUGCAGAAAAAGCACCGGCUAACUACGUGCCAGCAGCCGCCGUAA
rnacentral:rRNA from 1 species